rnacentral:lncRNA from 1 species
GCACCUUCCUCCAUGCAAGGAGGCUGGGACGAGGGGAGCAGGCGAGACUCAGCUCCUAGGACCCAGGACCACAUCCCCAGCCCUGGCUCCCAGCAGCAGGGCCCUGGGGUCCUCAUCUGGAGAACGGGAACAGACUCUACAGCUGUGAUUACAGGCCCUGAGACCGACGGGAGAUGAUCCUGGGGGACCUGGGAGCCCGAUGUCCUCACAGGGUCCUCACGAGCGGGGGCGAGAGGGUGAGUCAGACAGAGACUGGAAGAGGCUGCGCUGUGGCUGUGAAGAGGGAGGAAGGGACCUGAGCCGACAGAUGCGGGCGCCUCUAGAUGCUGGGAAAAGGGGGAAACGGAUUCUCCUCUGCAGCUUGUGCUGGGCCCAGCCCUGCCCACAGCUUGACUUUAGCCUGGUGAGGCCCCGUUCUGGGGCUGGACUCCUGGCCUCGGAGCCCUGAGGUGGGAAGCGAUGUCAGCGACUGCAGGGAUCGCACGUGCUGGCGUCCACCAUGCAGGCCUGGGGAAGACCUGGUCUCGCCCUCAAGGGGCUCACGGUCAACAGGGGUGGGCGCAGGGCUGGGUGUUUGAUGUGGGGUGACAGGCGGGGUGCGGAUCAGCAAGGGGGGGCUUCCCUGGGCUGGUCCUGUCUGAGCUCAGUGCCGAACAAGGAUGCCGUGGGAGCCGGAGGGAGUUCCAGGCGGAGGGAACGGCAGCACAAAGGUCACAAGGUGGCUGAGGCAGCCACGCUGCACGGAUAACAGCAGCGUCCUCCAGGCUCAUGCAGAGGCGGGUACCGAAGGGGAGUGCCUCCCUGUUGGAUUCCGAUGCUGGCACCACCCAGGGCCCAGGGGCAUGGAGACAAAUGCUUCUUUUCAAUCACAGGGGCUGUGGGUCAGGGCUGACUCCACCCCAGCUCUGCCAGCAUCUUCUCACUCCAUUCCCCCUUCCUAGAGGAAGAGGCUGAGGGUUGGGGAAGGGAGGGCUGGCUGAGGUCUGGCAGCUGGGGGUGCUGGGGCAGGCCCUCAAAGGGGAUUAUUAUGAGCCCGUGGAGACACUCAGGCUGCGCCGGAGUGUGUGCAGGAGGGUGCGGCAGGUGCCCUGCUCCGUAGGGCUCGGCCCUCUGGCUGCCUCCCUGCUCUGGGCUGGGCAGCAGUGCGUUGGAACUGGUCUGGCCCUGGCUUCCAGGCCGGCUGAGGUGAGCAGGGGAGGCCAGGACAUGUGAGGGGCCAACUGGGCGAGGUUCAGGGAGGUGCAGACAGGUGAGGAGGUGGGUGCGGAGUCCGCGGUGCAGACGGGGGCCGUCAGGGGUGGGGACCCGGCUGGGUGUGGACUCGGGAGAGGGGACAGAGGAGAAUUUCCCCGAGAGACAAAAAGUCUUUCUGGACCAAGGCCUUACAAAGCCAGCAAAGAGUGCAGAGAAGGCGGGAGCCCUUCUGUUUUAUGACGCGGAAAGAGAUGCUCAGAGGGAGGGGUGAACCCACCCGAGGUCACACAGAAGGAGAAGGAAAGUCAAACCUGGGCCUGGGUCGGCGAUGCCCCACCCUAUCAGCCCUGCCAGCGCCCCUCGGCCCCCAUGGGCACUGUGCUGCUCUCGGUGGGUGCACGGGAGACCCACGUGUGUCCCAUCCAGAGGCUGCACCCCGGUGACCGCCCUGCCGUCUGAAAACACGUCCACCGCGGGCACUGAAGGCAACUGAAUGCGACUUGGUGGAGCAGCCCAUAGCUUUGCUCUGCUGCCGGGUCAGAACUGCCGGAGACAAGACGAAGGCACGAGGCCUCCGCCAGAGCUUCCUCUCCACAUCUGUCUGACAUGGACACUGAGGCAGGGAAUGACUAAACUGGGGGAGGAGGCAGAUUGUCAGGCUGGCUCUGCAGUGAGACCCAAAACCUGGCUUGAACAUCACCCCUCAGAGGCCUCCUCCAGCCAACCUGCACCAAACGAUCCCCUCCUCACUGCCCGGCACACGGCACCACCUGAUACAUGGCUGUUGUCAUCCCCACAACAGGGGUCCCAGGCCUGCUCUGUCACCUGCUCACAGACUCUGGCAAAGCUCUGAGGGCAGCAAGGGAAGGCCAGUGAGAAAGGGGCGGCAGUGGGACCCAGGUGUGUCAGAGUAGCACAGGGGGCCUGCACCCCUGGGUGGGGCCGCUGCCCAGAGGGCAACUGCUGGGCACCCCAGGACAGGUGCAGGCUCGCCGUGACACAGCAACCCGGGUGUGUGAGGACGGCCCAGGCACGGGGUCCUGCGAUCCCACAAGCAGGAAGCAACCCCGGGCCAGAGCUCACGGUCACCUCCCUCAUUCGCUGGAACAACCCAUCCUCUGGCCUCCCGCCGUGCAGGCCUCCGACCAUGGGGACCACAGGCCCCUCUGAGGACCUGCCAGGACGGCCAGGCUGGGCAGCGGCACUCCACGACACAGGCUGGGGUGGGGACCCGGAGGCGGCAGGGCCGACCCUCAGCUCUGGUGAGGCUCAGACCAGGACCCGGCGGACAAGGGUAGGCCGUGCAAGAAUCUUCUCCUGCUAAACUGCAGAAAGGCCUUCUGUGGCUGUCCACAGAUGGCUGCGACGCUUGGCAGUAGUGUGACUUGCUCUGACCAACAGAAUGUGAUGCAAGGGAUGGUGUGGGCGUGAGGAAGGCUGGCACUUCUCACUGUGCCUCUGGGAACCUGGGCCACGACACUCAGAGGCCAGCUCCCUGCAAAAAGACCGGGCGGCCCCAGCUGUUCCUGCCAUCCUGGCUGAGGGUUGGACAGGCAAGUGUAGGACGAGCUUGAAUUUCCUGCCACUGCCGACCACAGCCAUGGAACUAACCCCAGGUAUGACCUACAGAAGAACCACCCAACUGAACCCAACCCAAAUAACAGAAUCGCAAGCAAAUACACAGUUGUUUGAAGCUUCUGUCUGGGGGUGGUUUGUUAUACAAUAGCUGACUGAAACAGAUCUCGGCUCACUACAACCUCUGCCUCUUGGGUUUAAGUGAUUCUCCUGUCUCAGCCUCCC